UAUUGUAUUAUUUUGUUCAUGUUGAGAUGCUAUGCUGUAUUUGUCUAUGGUACUUGCGCUAUUCAACUUACCCCCUUGACUCCCAGCAUCUAGGUUACAGAAUACUGCUUCACAAAAUGGAAGCAGCAGAUGGUCGACAAGCAGGGAUACCUACUUUGUAAUCACCAUGACCAGCGGGCAAAACUGAGGACAGCUAUGGAAGAGGCUCUUUGCAGUGUUCAAUGUCUUGAACAUACCUGAGAGGAGUUGCCUUCAACUAGUGGAGGAUACUCUACCACCAGCCCAUUCAGCUAACUGCGCAGGUCAGCGAUGUCCCUCCUGGAUCAAUAUGACAGCACCCCAUGUAAAUGCUGUGGCUUCUGACUACAGUAUUCUACUUUUCGCACCAGAUGGGAACUCUUACUGCCGAGAGGUCCAAGGUUGCCACGGUUAUUUCUCUGCUGACUGGGUGGGCAUUGGAAUGGGCCAUAGAUGUCUGGGAGAGGAGCUGGAUUCGUAUGCAGGGUUCAUGGCUCGGUUCAGAGGUAUCUUUGAUCAUCCACUGGAGGGCAGAGCGGGGUGAGUGCCUACUCCAACUACGGAGGACCAGACGGCUGCUGAGUACGCACUCACCAUCUGGACAGUAGCAACAUCCAGUGGCCUGACUGUGCGAAGAGGUUCAGACGGGACUGGCCUAUCGAGGACAACUUCUGCUUGAUAUCACUCAUUGUGAUGGCCAUCCAGUUGGAUAACCUUUUUUCGGGAGCAUUGGUACUCAUCACUUCUCUCCCUCAGUGAACACUUUGGAUCAGAGCCUGAACCCAUGGGGGUAGGGGUCACUUGCCUCCCCGCAGUGGAGCAAUGCAGGUGGCGAUAGCUGGGGCUCUGUCUCUAUUGUGGGCACCUGCUCCAGCAUUGUCCGAUACGGCCCAACUCGGGAUCCACAAGUGUAGAGGGAUGGUCACUUGAUCUCUUACUUCCUGGGGCAGAUGUGUGUAUCCCCUCAUCCCUUUCUGCAAAAAUCUUUUUGGUGGUGAUUGUACUAUUUGACUGUCCCUCAUGUACUGUUUCUACAGCAAUGGUGGAUUCCUGUGCUGCAGGGAACUUUAUUGACCUGACCCUUGCCUCAACUUCAACUAAUACCCGCUCUCCUCGCCUUUCCUGGUUCAAGCCCUCGAUAAUCAGUAAUUAGGUUCCGGGACCAUCAGACACAUCAAACUACUCACUGCGCCCCCAUGCAGAUGCAUCUACCCUCUGUCGGUGGCUGAAACCCAGGCCAUCGAAGAGUACAUUCAUGAGGCGCUCCAACAAGGUUUCAUCCGCACGUCCACUUCUACAGGGUCCGCAGGUUAAUUCUUUGUGGCCAAGGAUGGAGGUUUACGCCUAUGUAUUGAUUAGAGGACUCGAUGACAUCACCAAGUACCGUUACCCUCUCCCAUUGUUGCCGGCAGCCAUUAAAGAGCUCUGCGGGGCUCAGUUUAACUUUUUAAAUUUUUUAACCAAAUUGGACCUGCGGAGUGCAUUCAAUCUCAUCUGCAUCAGGGAGGAGGAUGACAGCUUUUAGCACAAUAUCUGGUCACUGGAGGAUCACUUUGCAUGGAUGAAAAAUUAAAACUACAGUGGAGACCCUGAAUCAUCCCUCCUGGAAACCACAGGAGAGUUGGGAAUGAGAGGUUGGGAAGUGUCGUGAUGCUGCCCAAGAGCUUCUAAAAGUGCUACGGAGACAACCUGUCAGUGGAGAUCCAAGCUGUCCUCUGAAUUGACGAUAAAGAUGGAUGGCAAACAGCCCUACCCUGAGAACAUGUUGGGGUUACUACGCUUCAUACGCAACCUCCAUGAGCACUAUGCUGAGGAUUUAGAAUUGGUUGACCUAAUGAAGAUGCUCCCUGAUCUCUUUGGAUGUGUCUACAUGUUGGCCAAGAAAAAGGGCUGGAAUUCAAGGCCUGGGCUGAAAAACGUAUUUCAGAAAGAUCUAAGCUCAUGGUUCUGAAAUGUAAAUUGUCAUGUGAAGUGAUGCAAUAUGACCUAUUGUAGUACUUUUGACUUUUGUAGGUAGAGCCACUGAUCUUAACUGUUUUAAGAACAUUUUAUAUUCUAUAUCUUCACAGAUCUAAACCAUAUGAUUUUUACGAAUCUUACAUGGUUAUAGCCUACAUAUUAUGGUUGUUCAUAUGAAAAUACAGUACACACAAAGCUUUGAUAAAAAUUAGUGGUUACUUUUUUACUUCAGUUAAGGUAUACAGGAUUUGUAUUAAUAUAAAUAUCUGUAUGAGAUUUCAGGGAUGUCUGGAUCAAAGUAUUGACAUCCUAUUUUAUCUGUUUUGCUUGAUAUGAAGUCUGCCCAAGAGUACAUUGAAACAGGAUUGUAUUUCUUAAAUCUGUGAUCUAUCAAUGGAGGAGCUGUGAUGCUCUCGUGGAUAGAACUGUGACGGUUACAAAUGUAGUGUUGAUCAGCAACAGUUUUCUAUUAACCACCCUAAAAUGUUAAUGCACCUCUCAAAGAGCAAUAUAAAACUGCCAUUUUUUUGACACACCCAGACUUUCCCGCCCACCUGCAACAGCUGGUGUAGAGUAAACAAACUAGUAUGCAGUAGGAACAAAACAUUGUCCUCUUUCUGGUAUAAAGCCACACAUCCAGCACCAGAUCAACCACAAUGAAAAGCCGACCUCCGAGUCACCAGGAAUUCUGACAGAGGGUAGUAGAACUACUGUCACCUGUGAUGCCAGGUGGUCGCUUAGCCCACCCGGUUAGAUGGAAAUCAUACCAAUCACACCAUUCAGGUGACUGUGAUUGACAUGCUGUGUUAAAUGUAACUGCAUGUUUUAUUGUUAUUUUUGGGUUAAAGGAAGCAUUCUGUACAUUUCUGUUGAAUUGUUAGAUGUAAUAUAUAGGCCAUUCUUGCGUGUCAUUUACCAUUUAUGUGACGGUGAGGAGAACCUGACGUGAGCCUGGUAUACCCCAACCUGAGUCUAAUGGAAUCGACAGGUUCGCUUCAAGUAUUGUAUUAUCAUUGACCUGUUAGGGUGUUUGUAAAUAUAAAUUUAGAUUAUUUUGUAAAUAUUGUCAUUUGAACAUCUAAAUUGUCAUUUUUUUUUAAAUAAAUAACUUCUGCACGUGA